UGACCGCGACGAGGGCGGCGCGCUGCUAUU
rnacentral:sRNA from 1 species